CAACUCCCUGAGUGGUGGGGACGAUUAUUGGGCUUAAAGCGUCCGUAGCCGGCUUGGUUAGUCCCGCGUUAAAUCCAACGACCUAAUCGUUGGGAUGCGGGGGAUACGGUCAGGCUAGGAGGCGGGAGAGGUUAGCGGUACUCCAGGGGUAGGGGUGAAAUCCAGUAAUCCCUGGGGGACCACCAGUGGCGAAGGCUGCUAACAAGAACGCGCUCGACGGUGAGGGACGAAAGCUGGGGGAGCGAACCGGAUUAGAGACCCGAGUAGUCC
rnacentral:rRNA from 1 species